GAUGAACGCUGGCGGCGUGCCUAAUACAUGCAAGUCGAGCGAACAGACGAGGAGCUUGCUCCUCUGACGUUAGCGGCGGACGGGUGAGUAACACGUGGAUAACCUACCUAUAAUACUGGGAUAACUUCGGGAAACCGGAGCUAAUACCGGAUAAUAUAUUGAACCGCAUGGUUCAAUAGUGGAAGACGGUUUUGCUGUCACUUAUAGAUGGAUCCGCGCCGCAUUAGCUAGUUGGUAAGGUAACGGCUUACCAAGGCAACGAUGCGUAGCCGACCUGAGAGGGUGAUCGGCCACACUGGAACUGAGACACGGUCCAGACUCCUACGGGAGGCAGCAGUAGGGAAUCUUCCGCAAUGGGCGAAAGCCUGACGGAGCAACGCCGCGUGAGUGAUGAAGGUCUUCGGAUCGUAAAACUCUGUUAUUAGGGAAGAACAAAUGUGUAAGUAACUAUGCACGUAUUGACGGUACCUAAUCAGAAAGCCACGGCUAACUACGUG
rnacentral:rRNA from 1 species